rnacentral:rRNA from 1 species
UACGGGGGGGGCAAGCGUUGUUCGGAUUUACUGGGCGUAAAGGGCGCGUAGGCGGCGCAACAAGUCACUUGUGAAAUCUCCGGGCUUAACCCGGAGCGGCCAAGUGAUACUGUCGUGCUAGAGUGCGGAAGGGGCUACUGGAAUUCUCGGUGUAGCGGUGAAAUGCGUAGAUAUCGAGAGGAACACCUGCGGCGAAGGCGGGUAGCUGGGCCGACACUGACGCUGAGGCGCGAAAGCCAGGGGAGCGAACAGG